UAUUAAAGGUUGAUUUGAAUGUUAACUUAAUUAGAUGAUUAGGAGUUUAUUAGGCUUAUUAGACUUUCUAGAUUAUAUUAGAGAUUUUAGGAUUCAAUUUUAAUUAGAUCUUAGAAAUGUAGAAAAAAUAUAUAAAAUUUGAUUUAGUUUAAUAGAAUUUUUAGAAAUUUUGGAGUUCACUAAUUUCGAUUAAUUUUAGAAAUUA
rnacentral:lncRNA from 1 species